GGUGGCGAGUGGCGAACGGGUGAGUAAUGCGUCGGAACGUACCGAGUAAUGGGGGGUAACGCAGCGAAAGUUGUGCUAAUACCGCAUACGCCCUGAGGGGGAAAGUGGGGGAUCGUAAGACCUCACGUUAUUCGAGCGGCCGACGUCUGAUUAGCUAGUUGGUGAGGUAAUGACCCACCAAGGCGACGAUCAGUAGCGGGUCUGAGAGGAUGAUCCGCCACACUGGGACUGAGACACGGCCCAGACUCCUACGGGAGGCAGCAGUGGGGAAUUUUGGACAAUGGGGGCAACCCUGAUCCAGCCAUUCCGCGUGAGUGAAGAAGGCCUUCGGGUUGUAAAGCUCUUUCAGCAGGAACGAAACGGUAGAGGCUAAUACCCUCUGCUAAUGACGGUACCUGCAGGAGAAGCACCGGCUAACUACGUGCCAGCAGCCGCGGUAAUACGUAGGGUGCGAGCGUUAAUCGGAAUUACUGGGCGUAAAGCGUGCGCAGGCGGAUUGUUAAGCAAGACGUGAAAUCCCCGGGCUUAACCUGGGAAUGGCGUUUUGAACUGGCAGUCUAGAGUGUGUCAGAGGGGGGUGGAAUUCCACGUGUAGCAGUGAAAUGCGUAGAGAUGUGGAGGAACACCAAUGGCGAAGGCAGCCCCCUGGGAUAACACUGACGCUCAUGUACGAAAGCGUGGGUAGCAAACAGGAUUAGAUACCCUGGUAGUCCACGCCCUAAACGAUGUCAACUGGUUGUUGGGGGAGUGAAAUCCCUUAGUAACGAAGCUAACGCGUGAAGUUGACCGCCUGGGGAGUACGGUCGCAAGAUUAAAACUCAAAGGAAUUGACGGGGACCCGCACAAGCGGUGGAUGAUGUGGAUUAAUUCGAUGCAACGCGAAAAACCUUACCUACCCUUGACAUGUCCAGAAUCCUGCAGAGAUGCGGGAGUGCCCGAAAGGGAAUUGGAACACAGGUGCUGCAUGGCUGUCGUCAGCUCGUGUCGUGAGAUGUUGGGUUAAGUCCCGCAACGAGCGCAACCCUUAUCAUUAGUUGCUACGCAAGGGCACUCUAAUGAGACUGCCGGUGACAAACCGGAGGAAGGUGGGGAUGACGUCAAGUCCUCAUGGCCCUUAUGGGUAGGGCUUCACACGUCAUACAAUGGUCGGUACAGAGGGUUGCCAAGCCGCGAGGUGGAGCCAAUCCCAGAAAGCCGAUCGUAGUCCGGAUUGUUCUCUGCAACUCGAGAGCAUGAAGUCGGAAUCGCUAGUAAUCGCGGAUCAGCAUGUCGCGGUGAAUACGUUCCCGGGUCUUGUACACACCGCCCGUCACACCAUGGGAGUGAAUCUGCCAGAAGUAGGUAGCCUAACCGCAAGGAGGGCGCUUACCACGGUGGGUUUCAUGACUGGGGUGAAGUCGUAACAAGGUA
rnacentral:rRNA from 1 species